rnacentral:SRP_RNA from 1 species
CUGUGCUAGAUGGGGAGCUAGCGGUGCCCUGUAACCUGCAAUCCGCUACAGCAGGGUCGAAUGCUAUUUGAGGCUUUAUCUAUGGAAGGUCCGCCUUCGAUAAGCGGCGUUUGGACUUCAAGGUCUUGUGCAAUCGUGCGCUGUGAACCAUGUCA